rnacentral:rRNA from 1 species
UACGGGGGGAGCAAGCGUUGUUCGGAUUUACUGGGCGUAAAGGGCGCGUAGGCGGUCAGCACAAGUCAGUUGUGAAAUCUCCGGGCUUAACUCGGAAAGGUCAACUGAUACUGUGCGACUAGAGUGCGGAAGGGGCAACUGGAAUUCUCGGUGUAGCGGUGAAAUGCGUAGAUAUCGAGAGGAACACCUGCGGCGAAGGCGGGUUGCUGGGCCGACACUGACGCUGAUGCGCGAAAGCAAGGGGAGCGAACGGG